AUUGUUCCUAUUGUGUUUAUACUCGAUUUAGCCUUAAGUUUUUGUCUCCCUAUUUCGAGAAAGGGCGGUAGUCUUCUUAUCCACUAAGACCCUUUAAGGGUAGGGGUUCGAACCCCCUCCGUGAACCCCUUUAGGCUUUUCUCGGAGUAGGGAGACAAAAACCCAAGGCUAAAAUCGAGCAUAGACAUCUCAGGAAUAA
rnacentral:pre_miRNA from 1 species